AUUGAACGCUGGCGGCAGGCCUAACACAUGCAAGUCGAGCGGUAACACAGGGAGCUUGCUCCUGGGUGACGAGCGGCGGACGGGUGAGUAAUGUCUGGGAAACUGCCUGAUGGUGGGGGAUAACUACUGGAAACGGUAGCUAAUAUCGCAUAAUGUCGCAAGACCAAAGAGGAGGGCCUCAGGGCAUCUUGCCAUCAGAUGUGCCAAGAUGGGAUGAGCUAGGAGGUGGGGUAACGGCUCACCUAGGCGACGAUCCCUAGCUGGUCUGAGAGGAUGACCAGCCACACUGGAACUGAGUCACGGUCCAGACUCCUACGGGAGGCAGCAGUGGGGAAUAUUGCACAAUGGGCGCAAGCCUGAUGCAGCCAUGCCGCGUGUAUGAGGAAGGCCUUCGGGUUGUAAAGUACUUUCAGCGGGGAGGAAGGUGUUGAGGUUAAUAACCUCAGCAAUUGACGUUACCCGCAGAAGAAGCACCGGCUAACUCCGUGCCAGCAGCCGCGGUAAGAC
rnacentral:rRNA from 1 species